rnacentral:rRNA from 1 species
AUUGAACGCUGGCGGCAGGCUUAACACAUGCAAGUCGAGCGGAGAUGAGGUGCUUGCACCUUGUCUUAGCGGCGGACGGGUGAGUAAUGCUUAGGAAUCUGCCCAUUAGUGGGGGACAACAUUCCGAAAGGAAUGCUAAUACCGCAUACGCCCUACGGGGGAAAGCAGGGGAUCUUCGGACCUUGCGCUAAUAGAUGAGCCUAAGUCGGAUUAGCUAGUUGGUGGGGUAAAGGCCUACCAAGGCGACGAUCUGUAGCGGGUCUGAGAGGAUGAUCCGCAACACGGGGACUGAGACACGGCCCAGACUCCUACGGGAGGCAGCAGUGGGGAAUAUUGGACAAUGGGCGGAAGCCUGAUCCAGCCAUACCGCGUGUGUGAAGAAGGCCUUUUGGUUGUAAAGCACUUUAAGCGAGGAGGAGGCUACCUGGAUUAAUACUCUAGGAUAGUGGACGUUACUCGCAGAAUAAGCACCGGCUAACUCCGUGCCAGCCGCCGCCGUAACAC